rnacentral:misc_RNA from 1 species
AACUGAUACUACCUGCGGGAACCUGCGGAGGGAUCAUUACAAAAGAGACCAAGAAGCACGUGAGAUGACAGUCUCAUUUCCGCUGCAUCUUGUUGUCCAACCACACUAUGUGAACUGUUAAUUGUCUCUGGCAGUUUUCUUCCAAAAAAGAGCUGCCGCCCUUUAAUAUUCUUGAAGGGGGGUAAGCAUUUUUAGAAAGGGCUGCCGAUGGGUUCUGCCCAUCAAAUGUGUUAACUCUGC